GGAAAUUGAAAUUAUUUUGGUGCCUACUCUCUCUCACAAUCUCACGAUUUCUCUUUAUUUGUCUCUCACGGUCAACAACUCUUCCUUGCAAAGGUACAUCCCAAUCAUGUACAAUUUCUAAACAAGAAAAUUGAGAUGUUUGCUGAGAUGGCUUAAAUUAUGGAUAAGGAUACAGCUACAG